rnacentral:rRNA from 1 species
AGUCAAUAGAUACCCGGGUAGUCCUAGCCGUAAACGAUGGAUACUAGGUGUUAGAGGUAUCGACCCCUCUAGUGCCGGAGCUAAACGCAUUAAGUAUCCCGCCUGGGGAGUACGACCGCAAGGUUGAAACUCAAAGGAAUUGACGGGGGCCCGCACAAGCGGUGGAGCAUGUGGUUUAAUACGUCACUAACCGUAGAACCUUACCCAGGCUUGACAUCUGGGGAACUCUGAUGAAAGUCGGAGGUGCCUUCGGGAGCCCCAAGACAGGUGUUGCAUGGCUGUCGUCAGCUCGUGUCGUGAGGUGUUGGGUUAAGUCCCGCAACGAGCGCAACCCUCAUCCGAUGUUGCCAGCGUAAAGUCGGGAACUCUUCGGAAACUGCCCGUGUAAGCGGGAGGAAGGUGGGGAUGACGUCAAGUCAGCAUGGCCCUUACGCCUGGGGGCUACACACAUGCUACAAUGGACGCUAACAAAGGGGCAGCAAUACCGCGAGGUGGAGCGAAUCUCAGAAAUGCGUCCUCAGUUCGGAUUGCAGUCUGCAACUC